CCCUUUGGCAGAACCAGGAAGUCCCUCCCACAAACUCUCUUCGGUGGAAACUAACCUGAUCCGAGUCUCUCUGUCGUCUGUCUGUGUGUGAGUGAACAACAACAGUCUAAAUGGCUCAGCAGGGAGUUCUACUGGACCAGGACUAGUUAUGUUGUUCUGUCUGUCUGGAUCUACUAAAGGAGCCGGUGGCUAUUCCUUGUUGACACAGUUACUGUAGAAGUUGUAUUGAGGGCUACUGGGAUCAGGACGAACAGGGCAUCUACAGCUGUCCUCAGUGCAAUCAGACCUUCACUCCAAGGCCUACUCUGAGGAAAAAUAACAUGUUGGCUGAGGUGGUGGAGACACUGAAGAAGACAGGACUCCAGGCUGCUCCCCCUCCUCUGUGCUAUGCUGGACCUGGAGAUGUGGCGUGUGAUUUCUGCACUGGGACCAGAAAGCCCUCAUGUCCUGUCUGGUGUCUUACUGUGAGACUCACCUCCAACCUCACUCCAGGACUAAAGAAACACAAGCUGGUCAACUGUGUGCUGUGGUGAAUGUUUGGUAACAAUCAACAACAUAGUCCAGGAGAGAGAGAGAGAAGGUGCGGAAGGAGCACCAACAGGCUGUGGAGUCUCUUAAGCGUUCUGCAAAUGCAGCAGUGGAUGACAGUGAGAGGAUCUUUACUGAACUGAUCCGCUCCAUGGAGGAAAGACGCUCUGAGGUGAGGGAGCUGAUCAGAGCUCAGGAGAAGGCUGAAGUGAGUCGUGCUGAAGGUCUACUGGAGCCACUGAAACAGGAGCUAGUUGAUCUGAGGAGGAGAGAUGCUGAGCUGGAGAAACUCACAAACAGGAUCACAUCCAUUUCCUUCAGGCGACUAUACUGUCUUGUUACAUUAUGAAAUGUAAUAUCUUAUUACAGGUUACACUGAAUUAGAGCUAGAAGUGACCCUUCUUAUAAUCCAGUGAUGAGCUAGAAGUGACCCUUCUUAUAAUCCAGUGAUGAGCUAGAAGUGACCCUCCUUAUAAAUCAGUGAUGAGCUAGAAGUGACCCUCCUUAUAAUUCAGUGAUGAGCUAGAAGUGACCCUUCUUAUAAUCCAGUGAUGAGCUAGAAGUGACCCUUCUUAUAAUCCAGUGAUGAGCUAGAAGUGACCCUUCUUAUAAUCCAGUGAUGAGCUAGAAGUGACCCUUUUUAUAAUCCAGUGAUGAGCUAGAAGUGACCCUUCUUAUAAUCCAGUGAUGAGCUAGAAGUGACCCUCCUUAUAAUUGAGUGAUGAGCUAGAAGUGACCCUUCUUAUAAUCCAGUGAUGAGCUAGAAGUGACCCUCCUUAUAAUUGAGUGAUGAGCUAGAAGUGACCCUCCUUAUAAUCCAGUGAUGAGCUAGAAGUGACCCUUCUUAUAAUCCAGUGAUGAGCUAGAAGUGACCCUUCUUAUAAUCCAGUGAUGAGCUAGAAGUGACCCUUCUUAUAAUCCAGUGAUGUCAAUCUUUGCUUAUUGGUAAACUAAACUGAGCAUUGUGGAGCCCUGUAUUGUGGCUGAGCGCUGACACACACAAGAUAUGUUUUUAAUACGUUAUUAAUAAUAUCAAAUAUUACAUUAGAUUCCUAAAAAGCAUUCUCAGGCCCUCACGUUGAAAACAGACAAUGUCAUGUCUUUAUUGAAUGAAUAAAUUAUAAAAGGACAAACAUAAAACACUAUACUAACAUAAAUAAAUCCUUUAUUUAGUUCCAAAGAGAUCCCCACCAGACCAGUAGACAUUUUCACCUCGUCUCUUCAUAAGUUACUACUGUAUCUUAUACAAUGUUUGAUAUAAUAUAAUAAUAUAAUAGUAUAAUAAUGUAAUAGUAUAAUAAUAUACUAGUCAUUUCUCAUCCAGUAAUCUCUUAACAGCUUGUUUACAUUUGGCACAGGAGGUGGAAGAGAGGGAGGAGAAGAGAGGAGGAGAAAACAGAGGGAGAGAGUGAUUGGUCAAGAGGAGAGAAAAAAGAGAAGGGGAUGAGUGGGGAGAAUAAAGGAAGGAGGGUGAAAAGACCGAUGAAUAGAGGGAUGGAGAAGAAAGAGAAUGAGAAGGGAGAGAUGGAGAGAGAGAAAAAUGUACAAAAGUAUUUGUAUGGUUGAUAAAAUGGGUCCAUUGUUUGUCUGACUCCAUGGACAUUUCCCCCAUGAUUCAACAGUUCAAGAGGACCUAUGGUUAGUCAGUGUGCGUAUCGCGGAAGUCUUCUAUAGCAGACGAUCCAGUGUAUGCUGGUUUAGGGAUAAGGGUUAGGGUGUAGGGUUUAAGUGAGUGUCACACCCUGACCUUAGAGAGACUUUUUUUAUUUCUCUAUUUGGUUAGGUCAGGGUGUGAUUUGGGUGGGCAUUCUAGUUUGUAUAUAUCUUUGUUGGCCGGGUAUGGUUCCCAAUCAGAGGCAGCGGUCUAUUGUUGUCUCUGAUUGGGGAUCAUACUUAGGCAGCCCUUUUUCCCACCUUGUUGUGGGAUCUUGUCUUUGUUUAUGCAUGACUAGCUUUACGUUCGGUUUGUGUGCAUUGUUUUUUCCCGGUGUUAUGUUUUCAAAUAAAGAGAGAAUGUACGCCUA